GGGAAGGUAGCUCAGUGGUAGAGCGCUUGCCUUGUAUCCAUGAAGCCCUGGGUUCGAUUCCUCAGCACCA
rfam:Dipodomys ordii contig_32830, whole genome shotgun sequence.